ACGGGUGAGGAACACGUAGGAAUCUGCCUUUAAGAGGGGGACAACCGGAGGAAACUCCGGCUAAUACCGCAUAAUACUCUGAGGAGGAAAUGCUGGGGCAACCUGGCGCUUAAAGAGGAGCCUGCGUCCGAUUAGCUAGUUGGUAGGGUAAAGGCCUACCAAGGCGAUGAUCGGUAGCUGGUCUGAGAGGAUGAUCAGCCACACUGGGACUGAGACACGGCCCAGACUCCUACGGGAGGCAGCAGUGGGGAAUAUUGGACAAUGGGGGCAACCCUGAUCCAGCAAUACCGCGUGUGUGAAGAAGGCCUUCGGGUUGUAAAGCACUUUAGGUUGGGAAGAAGUUGCAUAGUUUAAGAGAUAAUGCAAUUGACGGUACCAACAGAAUAAGCACCGGCUAACUCUGUGCCAGCAGCCGCGGUAAUACAGAGGGUGCAAGCGUUAAUCGGAGUUACUGGGCGUAAAGGGCGCGUAGGCGGUUGUAUAAGUGAGAUGUGAAAGCCCUGGGCUUAACCUAGGAACUGCAUCUUAUACUGUAUGACUAGAGUAUUGUAGAGGGUAGUGGAAUUUCCGGUGUAGC
rnacentral:rRNA from 1 species